rnacentral:rRNA from 1 species
GACAGAGGUGCCGAGCGUUAGGCGGAAUCACUGGGCUUAAAGCGUGUGUAGGCGGAUCGUUAAGUACCUUGUGAAAUCCCACGGCUUAACCGUGGAACUGCUGGGUAUACUGGCGAUCUUGAGGUGCUCAGGGGCGAGCGGAACAGAUGGUGGAGCGGUGAAAUGCGUAGAUAUCAUCAGGAACGCCAAUGGUGAAGACAGGUGACUGGGCUAGUUCUGACACUGAGGCACGAAAGCGUGGGGAGCGAACGGG